rnacentral:rRNA from 1 species
GGGCCCGCACAAGCGGUGGAGUAUGUGGUUUAAUUCGAUGCAACGCGAAGAACCUUACCAGGGUUUGACAUCCUGCGAAUCUCUUGGAAACGAGAGAGUGCCUUCGGGAGCGCAGUGACAGGUGGUGCAUGGCUGUCGUCAGCUCGUGUCGUGAGAUGUUGGGUUAAGUCCCGCAACGAGCGCAACCCACGUCUUUAGUUGCCAGCAGGUUUGGCUGGGCACUCUAACGGGACCGCCGGUGUCAAGCCGGAGGAAGGUGGGGAUGACGUCAAGUCCUCAUGGCCCUUACGGGUAGGGCUACACACGUGCUACAAUGGCAGUGACAGUGAGUUAAUCUCCAAAAACUGCCUCAGUUCGGAUUGUCCUCUGCAACUCGAGGGCAUGAAGUUGGAAUCGCUAGUAA